AGUGAACGCUGGCGGUAGGCCUAACACAUGCAAGUCGAACGGCAGCACAGUAAGAGCUUGCUCUUACGGGUGGCGAGUGGCGGACGGGUGAGGAAUACAUCGGAAUCUACUUUUUCGUGGGGGAUAACGUAGGGAAACUUACGCUAAUACCGCAUACGACCUACGUGUGAAAGCAGGGGAUCUUCGGACCUUGCGCGAUUGAAUGAGCCGAUGUCGGAUUAGCUAGUUGGCGGGGUAAAGGCACACCAAGGCGACGAUCCGUAGCUGGUAUGAGAGGAUGAUCAGCCACACUGGCACUGAGACACGGCCCAGACUCCUACGGGAGGCCGCAGUGGGGAAUAUUGGACAAUGGGCGCAAGCCUGAUCCAGCCAUACCGCGUGGGUGAAGAAGGCCUUCGGGUUGUAAAGCCCUUUUGUUGGGAAAGAAAAGCAGCAGGUUAAUACCCCGCUGUAAUGACGGUACCCAAAGAAUAAGCACCGGCUAACUUCGUG
rnacentral:rRNA from 1 species